rnacentral:lncRNA from 1 species
AACAGCUCAGGAGGCUGAAAUAAGAGGAUUGCAAGUUCAAAGCCAGUCUCAGCAAUGGCAAGGUGCUUAGCAACUCAGUGUGAUCCUAUCUCUAAAUAAAAUACAAAAUAGGGCUGGGGGUGUGACUCAGUUGUUGAGUGCCCCGGAGUUCAAUCCCUGGUGCCAAAAAGAAAAGAUAUUGAACCCAGGGGCACUUAACCACUGAGCCACAACCCCACCCCUUAUUGUUAUUUUUUUUACUUUGAGAUGGGAUCUUGCUAAGUUGCUGAGGCUGGCUUUGAGCUUGUGAUUCUCCUGUGUUAGCCUCUUGAGUGGCUGGGAUCACAGGCAAGUGCCACUAUGCCGGAUGAAAAUUUCUUUUUAAAGGUGGUUGUGAAAGUGAUGAUAUUUUUUCUUCUAUAAAAGGUUAUGCUUGGGCUGGGAUCGUGGCUUAGCGGUAGAGCACUCGCUUAGCACAGGCGGGACCCGGGUUCGAUCCUCAGCACCACAUAAAAAGAAAGCAUUGUGUUGUGUUCAUCUACACCAAGAAAUAAAUAUUUAAAAAAAAAAAAAAAGGUUAUGCUUGCUGGGUGCAGUGGCACAUACCUGUAAUCCAGCUGCUCAGGAGGUUGAGGCAGGAGUAUCACAAGUUCAAAGCCAGCCUCAGCAACUUAGCAAGGCCCUCAGCUAAGUUUCAGGGAGACCCUGAAAAUAAAAAAUAAAAAGGGCUUGGGAUGUGUGUCAGUGGUUAAGCACCCUUGGGUUCAAUCCCAGGUUCCAAAGAGGCGGGGGAAGUUUAGGCUUUCCUUACUACUGAACUGUAUCUGAGUGAAUAAGCCUGAUAAUUUGAAUGUGAAUACAAAUGAAUUUAUUAAACAGAGUGUUAAUAAAAGGGCUUAUUGUAGCAAUAUUCUCCUCUUACUCUCCAAACGGCCUCUUCCACAUACCCUCACACACUGCUCUCUUAAGUGCAUCUGUUGGCCUUUAUGGUAUGAACAUCUUUUAUUUUUAUUUAGUUUUUUGUCAGCAGUAAUCCAGGCAAGGGUUUCCAAGUUGAUGAAUUAAUCCACUGUGUGCUGCUCACAAACAGUUAAGAAGGGUACAGUAUCAUAUUAUAUAUAUACAAAAAAUACAUGCUUUAAUGUAUGAACCAGACUUAAUUAAUGGUUGGUAUAGAAAAAUCCAUUUUGCUCAAUCAUUUCAUGUAAGCACCUGAGAAAUUAUUUUUCCGAAAGCUUCUGGGAAACUUCCAGCGUGUGCUAUUGAAAUAUAAACAUGAAUCUAUAAUUUACAAGCAAAUAAGCCUCAGGCAUAUUUUCAUAGUUUCAAACUUCUGUGGCUAGUCCUCACAGCAGAAAAGGGGGAAGAAAGUACUUUCUGAAGGUAACUCUAGUUUUCUUCCUACCUUCAGCAUACGUGAAGGAAUUUGGGGAAAUUCUGCAUGUAGUGAGACCCAUUUAUAAAGUUUUCUUAUGAAAAUAUUAUGACCAUUGAAGCGCUUUUGGGGACAGGAAGUACUUGAUCUUCAUUCAAGCCACUAGUUAUGAAUAUUGGAAGUGAAAGCUUCAGAGGUCUGUGGUCUAGGCAUAGUGAGCUGAAGUACCUUGUUAAAAGGGAAGGACUGACACAUUUCAGCUUUCAUGUACAUUUCUACAGCCACAAGUAGAUGACCUUUCAGGGAAAAAAAAAUGCAUAAGAGUGGCUUGCUCCUCUUGCCAGGAGACAGCAUUUCCAGUAGUUCUCAGGAGAGCAGUAAUGAUCCAGCAAGGGUUUGAUUGAUUUGCAAUUGGAUAGGUAGAAAGUGUUUGAGAAAUAUUUGAAAGUUAUGAUUUCUCUUUUAGACUGCCUUGAAUGUUUAACUGUCCCUCCAGGUGCUGUAUGAUCACUAAAAAAUGUAGUGACUCCUGAGCUUCUGGAGGUGAGCGAUGAAGGGUGAUGGUGAUGUGUGAAAACAAAUCAAAUUUUCUUUUCUGGUCGAGACUUAGUGGCUUGGUAUGACACCUUCUAGCUGCUGUUCCUUGAAGACUAAGUAUAUAUCAGACACUGGCUAAGAAUUGUAUUUAUUUAUGACCAAGGUGCUAUUCCGAUUCAUGUCUGACAGAUCAGAAAAUUGAGGCAAACAGAGGUUAAGUAACUUGCCCACAGUCACAUACCUGAUUAAUGAGAAAGCAGGAUUUAAAACUUAAUAGUUGGAUUCCAGAGCACAUGCUUUUAGCUAUUUUGCUACACAACUUCCAGGGGUAUAACCAAAAACAGAAGGAACUUGUAGACUUAUAUCGUUCAAGUUACUUUGAAGCAAGGCAGAAUCCUGAAAAUGAGGAAAUGAAUGAUUUUCUGAUGAAUUCAGUUGAUUCUGUUUCACACCCCAUCUACUCUGAAAAAGUCAAAUUGAGGUGGUAGUUUCUGAGUCCUCAAUGUCUUUCUUCACUAAGCUUUUGUAAAUGCUCUACUUAUUUUUAUUUAAGUCUGUACUAAGUGAAAACAAUUGAAAUAUAGUGAUUCAAAUGAAGAGAGUAGCUUGGAUCUGACUUCAAUUCUGCCUCUCUGGCCAGUGUGGAUUUAUGGGAGGAUUCUAAAGAGACUAUGCACACUUAGUUGGGAAAAAAGGUUGGGGUCAUCAUGACCCUCAGAAAUCAUCUGGUAGUGAGGAAACUGAGGCUCACUGAAGGCCAAUGAUGUGGCCAACAUCACACAGAGAGGGGCUUGAAGGGACCCUAGAAUGUGUGCUCGCUGGACAGAGCUCUUUCCACCAUGCGCCCUUUAAAUCGAAGAAGCGAGUGAUCAGGGAACACUUGAAAAGCAACAGCUCUGGUGACAAAGUGUUGACUAACACAGAAGCAAAAUCAGAUGGAAAAAUGUCCUUACUGGAAGCAUCUUGGGUCCUUCAGCCAUGGAGAAUCCCCUGGGCAAGGACAUAAGUUCACUCUGCUACAAAAGAUUUCAGACAAUGAGGUGACAGAGGCUGGUGGGAGGGUGACAGGGACAGGCUGGCAACUGGAUGGAGAAUAAAGCAGAUUUAUAGCUUGAAAAUCUAACACAAAGCACAGUGAAAACCAAUUGCAAAGAGCUAAGGGCCUCAGGGGACUGGAUAUCUGGGGAAAUUGGGCCAAUUUUUUCUUCACAUGUCUAGGUCUUUUGACUCUAUCACGAUACAGUAUCCUUCCUUUGACAUUGCGAAAAUAACUCGAUUAUGAUUAUGUCCCCCCAUAAGUUUCCUAUUUUAAAUUAAUUUAAAAAUCUCAGAGGUGUAAGAACUAAAUAUUUGUGUUUCAGAUUUCCAGGCACAUACAUAUUUAUUAACUAAAUGAAUAAAUGAAUUUUUGCCCUUGUCAAGGUAUUACAUCAUUGGUCAAUCCAUA